GAAUUUUAUAAAAUUUUAAUUUAAAUAAAUUAAAAUUUUAUUUAAUUGGGAGGAUUAUUAAAUUUAACUAACUUUAAUAUAAAUUUAACAUAAAUUUAUGAAAAUUUUAAAUAAUAAAAUUAAUUAAUUUAAAAUUAAUUACCUUAGGGAUAACAGCAUAAAAUUAUUUUUUAGUUCUUAUAUAUAAUAAUAUUUGU
rnacentral:rRNA from 1 species